UUUGAAUGGUACGGUUUUGGGAUCUUACGAUUUCUGUGACACUUAAUAUCAAGCCUCGGUGUUGGUUAUUAGGUAUGGGAUUACAUACGUUCUUUAUGGCUUGAAGGGCUAUUUGAUCACUUACGAAAGUUAGGUCUGGGUUGUAGUUUUUCUUCCACCUACCAUUAUUGAAGGAUGGGGGAAUUUUUGGAUCAUGAACUAGAGAUAGACCUUCAGCCGCAGCCCAUGAUACCACGUUUUCUUUAUUUUGAUCUAUUUCCUGGGAUCCCCACGUGACAACUGUCGAAAUCACCCACAACUAUCUUUGUAUCACAGUUAUUGAAGUUAUCCGGUUUUUCAAAGGCAAAUGCGAUAUUUGGUGGUUUGUAUACCGAAGUAAUUGUACACUUGCGUACCUCAAUAGUUAGUAUCUCGAUCUGACUGCUAUGACUAUAGGAUGCGCUUUCGACCACUAAUUCUAGUUAAGUAUAUAUUGCACUACCAUAUUGUGAAUGUGGUAUUUCAAUGACUAGAUUCAUUUCCGGUAAUUUUGGCCUGACACUGGCCUCAUCCCGGUGCGUUUCUUGGACACAUAGUAUGUCGCACCUCUGUGACUCACAAAGGGAAGCAAGAAGCUCACCUUUAGUCACGGAAAAAUCUUCGACAUUCUGUGUUAUCACAUUAAUUGCUGGCGGAGGUGGCCGUAAAAAGAACCUUUUCGAGUUUGAAUGUCUAGGCAUUCUAGCACCGGUGUCGG